rnacentral:rRNA from 1 species
UGCAGUCGAACGAUGUUCUGAUUAUUGAAUGGGUGCUUGCAUCUUGAUUUAAUUUUGAACGAGUGGCGGACGGGUGAGUAACACGGUGGGUAACCUGCCCUUAAGUGGGGGAUAACAUUUGGAAACAGAUGCUAAUACCGCAUAAGAUCCAAGAACCGCAUGGUUCUUGGCUGAAAGAUGGCGUAAGCUAUCGCUUUUGGAUGGACCGCGCGGCGUAUUAGCUAGUUGGUGAGGUAACGGCUCACCAAGGCAAUGAUACGUAGCCGAACUGAGAGGUUGAUCGGCCACAUUGGGACUGAGACACGGCCCAAACUCCUACGGGAGGCAGCAGUAGGGAAUCUUCCACAAUGGACGCAAGUCUGAUGGAGCAACGCCGCGUGAGUGAAGAAGGCUUUCGGGUCGUAAAACUCUGUUGUUGGAGAAGAAUGGUCGGCAGAGUAACUGUUGUCGGCGUGACGGUAUCCAACCAGAAAGCCACGGCUAACUACGUGCCAGCAGCCGCGGUAAUACGUAGGUGGCAAGCGUUAUCCGGAUUUAUUGGGCGUAAAGCGAGCGCAGGCGGUUUUUUAAGUCUGAUGUGAAAGCCCUCGGCUUAACCGAGGAAGUGCAUCGGAAACUGGGAAACUUGAGUGCAGAAGAGGACAGUGGAACUCCAUGUGUAGCGGUGAAAUGCGUAGAUAUAGUGGAAGAACACCAGUGGCGAAGGCGGCUGUCUGGUCUGUAACUGACGCUGAGGCUCGAAAGCAUGGGUAGCGAACAGGAUUAGAUACCCUGGUAGUCCAUGCCGUAAACGAUGAAUGCUAGGUGUUGGAGGGUUUCCGCCCUUCAGUGCCGCAGCUAACGCAUUAAGCAUUCCGCCUGGGGAGUACGACCGCAAGGUUGAAACUCAAAGGAAUUGACGGGGGCCCGCACAAGCGGUGGAGCAUGUGGUUUAAUUCGAAGCAACGCGAAGAACCUUACCAGGUCUUGACAUCUUUUGAUCACCUGAAGAGAUCAGGUUUCCCCUUCGGGGGCAAAAUUGACAGGUGGUGCAUGGUUGUCGUCAGCUCGUGUCGUG